rnacentral:rRNA from 1 species
GACGAACGCUGGCGGCGUGCUAAACACAUGCAAGUCGAACGGUAAGGCCCUUCGGGGUACACGAGUGGCGAACGGGUGAGUAACACGUGGGUGAUCUACCCUGCACUUCGGGAUAAGCCUGGGAAACUAGGUCUAAUACCGGAUAGGACCACUGCCUGCAUGGGUGGUGGUGGAAAGCUUUUGCGGUGUGGGAUGGGCCCGCGGCCUAUCAGCUUGUUGGUGGGGUGAUGGCCUACCAAGGCGACGACGGGUAGCCGGCCUGAGAGGGUGACCGGCCACACUGGGACUGAGAUACGGCCCAGACUCCUACGGGAGGCAGCAGUGGGGAAUAUUGCACAAUGGGCGCAAGCCUGAUGCAGCGACGCCGCGUGAGGGAUGACGGCCUUCGGGUUGUAAACCUCUUUCAGCACCGACGAAGCGCAAGUGACGGUAGGUGCAGAAGAAGGACCGGCCAACUACGUGCCAGCCGCCGCAGUAA